AAAUGACUCUCGGCAACGGAUAUCUCGGCUCUUGCAUCGAUGAAGAACGUAGCGAAAUGCGAUACUUGGUGUGAAUUGCAGAAUCCCGUGAACCAUCGAGUCUUUGAACGCAAGUUGCGCCCGAAGCCACUAGGCCGAGGGCACGCCUGCCUGGGUGUCACA
rnacentral:rRNA from 1 species